AGUUGUAGUUUCACAAGAUAAUUGGCCUCACCAAACUGCACUUCAAAACUUCCCUCUAGCUGCCAGGAAGGAGGCCAGGGCGCUGUCCCUUUAAGAGCUGGGCAUGAAAAGGGGUGUGGCCCCUUUAAGGGAGUGGCUCUUCCCGGGCCAAUGAGGCUCUUUCUCCCACAGCCUGGAGCAGAGAGACAGGUCCUUUUGCUUUCUCUUCCUUCGCAUCUGCAAGCUGUUUCCUCCUCUUACUGAUCCAAGCCUCUUGCAUGCAGCCUCUGAACAUACGCAGAGUGCUUUUCUCACCUCCUGCUGCAGGACUGAUGCAGUUUGACCACGUGAGAAGAAAGUUUUCAGCAGCCAGAGGAAGAAGUGACUUCCCUCCUAUCUACAAGGCUGAGCGAAAGAAGAUAGACGCUUUUGAACUUUGGUGCUGGAGGAAAAUCCUGAGAGUGCCUUGGACCGCAAGAAGAUCCAACCAGUCCAUCCUCCAGGAAAUAAUGCCCGGCUGCUCACUGGAGGGAAGGAUAUAGGAGGCAAAGUUGAAGUAUUUUGGCCACAUCAUGAGAAGACAGGAAAGCUUGGAGAAGAUCAUGAUGCUGUGGAAAAUGGAAGGAAAAAGGAAGAGAGGACGACCAAGGGCGAGAUGGAUGGACGGCAUCCUUGAAGUGACUGGCUCGACCUUGAAGGACAGUGACAGCCGACAGGGAGCUCUGGCGUGGACUGGUCCACGAGGUCACGAAGAGUCGAAAAUGACUGAACGAGUGAGACGACGAUGAUUAAUUGUUGGAAUGGGACAGGAGUGGCUAAAUACCCUCAAGGAACCAGAUAAUGUCAGAUUUUGGUCAGCCCCAGUUAGUACUUGGAUAAGGAACUGCCAAUGAAUGCCAGGUGCUGUAGGUUUUAUUUCAAAGGGAGGAACUGACAAAACAACCUGUGAGUAUUCUUAGCCUAAGAAAGCCCUAUGAAAUUCAUUAAGUCACCAUAAGUUGACCAAACCUUGAAGGUACGUACACACACUGCAGGUAACUUAAAGCAUACCUAGCUGAAAGUAAUUCAUUGGAUAUUUCUAAAGAGGACAGAUGUGCUGGAACAGAAAUGUAUAUAAUUGAUCAUUGGACUAAUAUUUUCAUUGGACCAUCUGGAUGUUGAAAGCAUUUGUAGUUUGUUUCUGUCCAUUUGCAUGCUCUAACGUCUGCUAUCUAAUUGUAAAAGUAAAGAAAUGGUAAAACAUUA